rnacentral:lncRNA from 1 species
CCGCGCUGCUGUACGCUGCGCGUGGCGCUCUGGGCCUUCGGUCGCGCGUCCUCUCGCCAUGUCCCGGUCUCCGGCACCCCGGCCGUCUCUGGCGCCCCUCUCCGGCCCGGUACGGUGCUGGGCACCAUGGAGAUGGGGCGCCGCAUGGAUGCGAGUGCUAGCGCUGCGACCGUACGCGCCUUCCUGGAGCGCGGCCUCAACGAGCUGGACACCGCCUUCAUGUAUUGCGACGGCCAGUCCGAAAGCAUCCUGGGCAGCCUGGGGCUCGGGCUGGGCAGCGGCGACUGCACAGGUAACCGCUGCACCCGGUCUUCCCCCGCACAGAGUAGAGCCGAGCCAGUGCUCGCACCCGGCGUGCACCGGCCAGGGUCUGCACCCAGAAGUUUCCUAAGCUCCGGUGUCCACAGCCUUGUCUACCCCGAGCUCCCAAGGCUACUGGAGUCCUGAACUAAUUAACUGAACUUUGUCCCGCCUCUCCUUAGAAGCUUCUAGAGUUGCAGCUACGGGGCGGGUGCGUGGAACUCCCUUCUGUUGAGCCUGCUCUGACUCUACUUCCUACCGCAGUCCCCCCUUCCAACCAACAGUUGCCCAUAGC